rnacentral:rRNA from 1 species
GACGAACGCUGGCGGCGUGCUUAACACAUGCAAGUCGAACGGAAAGGCCCGGCUUUUGUGGGGUGCUCGAGUGGCGAACGGGUGAGUAACACGUGAGUAACCUGCCCUUGACUUUGGGAUAACUUCAGGAAACUGGGGCGAAUACCGGAUAGGAGCUCCUGCUGCAUGGUGGGGGUUGGAAAGUUUCGGCGGUUGGGGAUGGACUCGCGGCUUAUCAGCUUGUUGGUGGGGUAGUGGCUUACCAAGGCUUUGACGGGUAGCCGGCCUGAGAGGGUGACCGGCCACAUUGGGACUGAGAUACGGCCCAGACUCCUACGGGAGGCAGCAGUGGGGAAUAUUGCACAAUGGGCGGAAGCCUGAUGCAGCAACGCCGCGUGCGGGAUGACGGCCUUCGGGUUGUAAACCGCUUUCGCCUGUGACGAAGCGUGAGUGACGGUAAUGGGUAAAGAAGCACCGGCUAACUACGUG